rnacentral:rRNA from 1 species
GUGCCAGCAGCCGCGGUAAUACGUAGGUGGCAAGCGUUGUCCGGAAUUAUUGGGCGUAAAGCGCGCGCAGGCGGCCUCUUAAGUCUGAUGUGAAAGCCCCCGGCUCAACCGGGGAGGGCCAUUGGAAACUGGGAGGCUUGAGUAUAGGAGAGAAGAGUGGAAUUCCACGUGUAGCGGUGAAAUGCGUAGAGAUGUGGAGGAACACCAGUGGCGAAGGCGACUUCCUGGCCUGUAACUGACGCUGAGGCGCGAAAGCGUGGGGAGCAAACAGGAUUAGAUACCCUGGUAGUCC